UUUACGCGCGACGAGUACGACUUCUGUUGCCAAGUUUUUGAAAACUGCGUAGCGAGUAAUAUUCCAUACGUAACGUGUAAUGUCGACUCGUUUUUACGAUUUUCAUUUUUUUCUUCUUUUUUUCAACGAUUAAACUUUUAUUUACAUCGUUUCGAGGUAUACUGGUGGUUUUUAAUUCCGUACGGAUUAUAUUUCACUCUGUGAUAUUGUCAAGGAAAUUUCACGCGAUGAGAUUGCUCUCUCGGUAUCAAAAUACGUAUAUUUUACGCUGCGUGGAAUUUUAUUGAACUUUUUUAUUUUUAAAAUUUUUUCAACGUGUCAUCGGGAAAUUUACCGGGAUAGUAAUUUGAUCCGCAGGAAAAUUACGAAUCGCUGGAAGAAAACCUGGGAAAUUUUGCAGUCGAUGAUAGGACACAAGACAAGACAAUAUUGAAAACGUGGUAUUUUGGUUUCAAGGAUUCUGUGCCAGAAGGAUUCUGCGCCAGGAGAAACCAUCAAGAGGAUGGUUCUUGAUCUUCAGGAUUUUAAGAAAUCUGAUAUUUUAUUUUUCAGAGUUCUGCGCCAGGAGGAAAUUAUGAUAAACAUAAUAAUUGAUGUAUUUUUCAGGGUUAUGCGUCAUGAGAAAAUCGUUGGAUGCGCUUGUACAUAGAAUACGAAAUUUUUUCCUGAAAAUUAGCUGCAAAAAAUUAUGGAUUUUGAUCCAGCAGAGUCUCUGGUAUUGGAUUCUGACCAUUUUUAUGGCAAUUUUUACAAGACUUGGAAAUUUCAAAAAACCAUUGGAGACUCUACAACCACCUCAAACCGUGCCCAAUCGAUUGGAGUGAUUAAAAAAAUGAGAUAUAAGCCAAAUUCCAACAUUCCAAUUUCUAUUUGAUCAAAAGUUGUUUAGUUUAUUAUCGAAAAUGAACCGAAUAAAUUUUCAAAAAUUCUCCAAAAAUCCAAAAAUGAAAUUCACUAUUAUUGGAGUUUGGUCUAAUAGUGUAUUUUUUUGGAUGCCCUUCCAAUUUUUCUCUGUUUAGUUCAAAAUUAUUUCCUCCAGUUUGGGCAUCGCCACAUCCUUUAAGAGUUCACAGUCGAAGUGAAAAAAUCGUAAGUAAUGAAAAUAAAUGUAUAAAAUAUUAAAAAAUAUUUUUCAUUUUA